CUCUAAAAUGCUAUUUUCUGAGGCGAGGUUGGAUGAAAGUUAUUAAUUCAGAAACAGAUUCAUUAGGACCAGCGCUUAAAGUGACCCAACCCCUCCCAGCGCCAUUUGAACGUUAGUAACUUUAUGUUCGUCUGCACUUUUUCCCUCUUCAAGCACUGGUCAUUACGCCUGUAUAAUGACAUUAACUAACAUCAAUUGGACUGCACGUUUUACUUUCAGCUAUAAUCACACUGAUGAUCUGAACUAUCGUAUGUACAGUCAGGCCUGGGUGUCUGCAGAGGCACGUGCCUAGUAUCCCUCCUCAUUAAAAGCUUGUAUCUCCAUAUUAAGUCACUUUUUAAUAAAUUAUUUCUAUUGGUUACUUCAGCGAGAGAGGGGACCAGAUGAAGUGGAUCAGACAGCCGUGCCCUCUGAAGUAGACUGUGCCACACUUCCAAGUACACCCUGCAUAAUUGUGUGUGGAAGUUCCCCUUUGACUGCAGAGAACUUUGUUUUCUGUCGACCAAGUCAUAGUUAACAGCCACAUCACCAUCUUCUGCGAUGCUCUGAAGUUGAUGUUUGCCUCAUACUACUGCUUGAAUAUUUCAUACCCAGGAGACCAAGGAGCAACGCUAGAGUUCGUGCAAAGUACAGAAACUCAAGAGGAUCAAACGUGUCUCCAAUAUCAGACGGAAAACUCCCCGGG
rnacentral:lncRNA from 1 species